CAGAAACUUGGUUGAGUUUCCAGGAACCAGAUCGAGACAAGGGCCCUUCAGAGAACAUUUAGAAACUGAAAAAACACUUCCUGGAUGAUUUCUAAAUCAAGAUGUCUAAGUGAGUGUGGUAGCCUGAAUAACAGCCUCCCAAAUGUGUCCACAUCUGAAAACCUGGAACUUUGGACCAUCUGCUACCUUAUAUGGCAAAAGUUACUUUCCAGAUUUGAUUAAGUAUCUUGAGAUGGAGAGAUCAUUCUAGUUUAUCGCUGUGAGCUUGAUGUACCUAUAAUGAUCCUUACAAGAGAGAUACAGGAGUCAGAGACAGAGGAAAGGGCAAUGUGACAACAGAAACAGAGAUUGAGAUGAUGUGGCCACAAGCCAAGAAAUGUCAACAGCAUCUAGAAGCUGGGAGAGACAAGAAAGGGGUUCUUCCCCUGGAGCUGCGAGAAGAAAUCAGCUUUGCUGACGUCUUGAUUUCAGCCUUGAAAGACUCAUUUUGAACUUCUGAUCUCUGGAACUAUAGAAGAAUAAAUCUGUGUUGUAUUAA